UGAACCAAUCAAAUUAAAUAAAAAAUUAAAUAAUUAAAUAAAUAAAUAAGGAUAAUUUAAUCAUUUGUUUAAUAACUUCCAAAAAUAAUCCCUAUUGUCUCCAAAAAUAAUCCCUUUAUCUAAAAACAGAUUUUGAAAACCCUAAAUUGAACAAAUUGACGCCAGCGACUUUGUGGGUUGCCUUUCAUCGUCUUCUUCAUAGAGCGGUACCAUGCCCAAACGCGAUUUCUGCGGUUUUUUUUUCAAUAAGAACCGAUUUCUACAAAGGGCAUUUCCGGGACAUUUCGAUCGAUCGCAAGGGGGGCUGAGAAAGCGACUUCGGUCCUCGUCUUGGCAUCAUCAGGUCAAAAGAACAUCGAUUAAAGGAGGUCAUGUGGUGGUGAAAACUGAGCAACGAUUGGGGAAACCGAAGGUAGUUUAUGCCACCGGCGAUCGUCGCAACUAGGGGCUUCUUCAUCAGCUUCCUAAUUGAUUUCACAACCAGCAAUCACCGAGCCACCAUCGCCAUCCAUCACCAUCGUCUUUGCAAUUGCCGUCACAACAAAACGUGAUUCGAUUUUACAACCACUAGUAACCAGACACAUAAAAGUGAUUUGCAAGGCUUUAAGCCAGCAAGUAUACUUCACAGAAUCGAUCUUCAAGAAUUCCGCAACAACACAAAAAUUGAUGAUCUAGUACGCUGUCCUUUAAUACGCUUGACAUAUUUUGGCAAUUUUUAUUUUCUUUAUUGUAGACAUCAUUUAUUUAUAUGGUUUUCCAUAUGGAGGAAAUAGACUCAUGGUUGAAGGGAAUGGUUCUGCCAAAGCAAUCAUAAUUAGCCAAUUCACAAACUUUCUUGAACUAUUCUUUGCAAAAGAAGUUGAUGCUUGAAGAACGGACAAAAAAAUUGAAAAUGUUUCUUAGCAACAUUAUUCUUUUAGAAUGAAUUAGUGUAUUUGUUAGAUUUUGAUGUUUUUUUUCCCGAUUUGAAAGUUUUUUAGUUUUAUGCUGUAAAAAUAAAUGUAAUUCUUAGCAAUUGUUACACGUAUUCUAUAAGAAUUAAUGUAAUUUUUGUUUUAAUUCUUCAA